AUUGAACGCUGGCGGCAGGCCUAACACAUGCAAGUCGAGCGAGCGGCGGACGGGUGAGUAAUGUCUGGGAAACUGCCUGAUGGAGGGGGAUAACUACUGGAAACGGUAGCUAAUACCGCAUACCAUCAGAUGUGCCCAGAUGGGAUUGGCUAGUAGGUGGGGUAAUGGCUCACCGAGGCGACGAUCCCUAGCUGGUCUGAGAGGAUGACCAGCCACACUGGAACUGAGACACGGUGCAGAUGCCCACGUGAGGCAGCGGUGGGGAAUAGUGCACAAUGGGCGCAAGCGUGAUGCAGCCAUGCCGCGUGGGUGAAGAGGGCCUUCGGGUUGUAGAGCACUUUCAGCGGGGAGGCGUUACCCGCAGAAGAAGCACCGGCUAACUCCGUGCCAGCAGCCGCGGUAAUAC
rnacentral:rRNA from 1 species